rnacentral:antisense_RNA from 1 species
GUAGGAGCAAGGCUUGCCCGCGAUGGCGUCAUCCCUGACGCCAGAAAUACCGAGUCGCUCUCAUCGCGGGCAAGCCUUGCUCCUAC